rnacentral:rRNA from 1 species
GUGCACAAUAUUGAAUUCCUUUGAGCAUGCCUUGAUGGAGAUUGUGAAACUGCGAAUGGCUCAUUAAAUCAGUUAUAGUUUGUUUGAUGGUACAUGCUACUUGGAUAACCGUAGUAAUUCUAGAGCUAAUACGAGCAACAAACCCAACUUCUUGAUAACUCAACGGAUCGCACGACCCUCGGGCCGGCGACGCAUCAUUCAAAUUUCUACCCUAUCAACUUUCGUGCUAUGAUAGUGGCCUGCUAUGGUGGUGACGGGUGACGGAGAAUUAGGGUUCAAUUUCGGAGAGGGAGCCUGAGAAACGGCUACCACAUCUAAGGAAGGCAUCAAGCGCAAAAAUUACCCAAUCCUGACACGGGGAGGUAAUGACAAUAAAUAACAAUAUCGACCUCUAUGAGUCUGGAAAUUGGAAUGAGUACAAUCUAAAUCCCUUAACGAUGAUCCAUUGGGAAGCAAGUCUGGUGCCAGCAGCCGCGGUAAUUCCAACUCCAAUAGGUAUAUUUAAGUUGUUGCAGUUAAAAAGCUCGUAGUUGGACUUUGGGUGGGUUGGCCGGUCAGCCCUUAGGUGUGCACUGGUUGUCUCGUCCCUUCUACCGGUGAUUUGCUCCUGGUCUUAAUAGACCGGGACGUUCCUCUGGUGCUGUUACUUUGAAGAAAUUAAAGUGCUCAAAGCAAUCCCAAGCUCUGGAUACAUUAGCAUGGGAUAACAUCAUAGGAUUCUUGUCCUAUUGCGUUGGCCUUCGGGAUUGGAGUAAUGAUUAACAAAGGCAAUUGGGGGCAUUCGUAUUUCAUAGUCAGAGGUUAAAUUCUUGAAUUUAUGAAAGACGAACUAAUGCGAAACCAUUUGCCAAGGAUGUUUUCAUUAAUCAAGAACGAAAGUUGGGGACUCGAAGACGAUCAGAUACCAUCCUAGUCUCAACCCUAAACGAUGUCGACCAUUGAUCUACGAUAGUUGCUUAUAGGAUUCCACUGGCACCUUAUGAGAAGUCAAAGUUUUUGGGUUCCAGGAGGAGUAUGGUCUCAAGGCUGAAACUUAAAGGAAUUGACGGAAGGGCACAACCAAUAGUGGAGCCUGCGACUUAAUUUGACUCAACACGGGGAAACUUACAUGGUCCAGACAUAGUAAGGAUUGACAGACAGAGAGUUCUUUCUUGAUUCUAUGGGUGGUGGUGUAUGGCCGUUCUUAGUUGGUGGAGCGAUUUGUCUAGUUAAUUCCGUUAACAAACGAAACCUCCGCCUGCUAACUAGCUAUGUGGAGGUGACCCUCCACGACCAGCUUCUUAGACGGACUAUGGCCGUUUAGGCCAUGGAAAUUUGAGGCAUUAACAGGUCGGUGAUUCACUUAGAUGUUCUGGGCCGCACGCGCUACACUGAUGUAUUCAACGCAGUGUUCUAAAAAUCGGUCUAGGCGGCGCCUAGGUGCUAGAAGGUGGAAAACCGCCCAGAUUAAUGACUGGGCAGGCAGUCUGGGCGGUUCUGGGCAGUCUGGGCGGGAUCUAGGCGGGUAUGGGCGGGAUCUAGGCGGGGUCUAGACGGACUCUAGGCGGUCUGGGCGAUUUUUAAUUUUAUUUUUAAUUUUUUUUAUUUUUUAAUAAAGCUGAUUGUGUUCUUAUUUUAUUUUUUAGAAAUAAACUAUUUAAUUAUUUUUUAUUUAGUAUAUGUCUA